rnacentral:tRNA from 1 species
AAAAUAGAUAUGUUUUUUGUUUGAUAAGUUUUGUUUAAUUAGUUUAAUUUAAAAUUUUAAGUUGUGGAUUU